GAUGAACGCUAGCGGCAGGCCUAAUACAUGCGAGUCGGACGGGAUCCAUUGAUAGCUUGCUAUCAAUGGUGAGAGUGGCGCACGGGUGCGUAACGCGUGAGCAACCUGCCUCCAUCAGGGGGAUAGCCUCUCGAAAGAGAGAUUAACACCGCAUAAUAUCAACAGUUCGCAUGUUCAGUUGAUUAAAUAUUUAUAGGAUGGAGAUGGGCUCGCGUGACAUUAGCUAGUUGGUAGGGUAACGGCUUACCAAGGCGACGAUGUCUAGGGGCUCUGAGAGGAGAAUCCCCCACACUGGUACUGAGACACGGACCAGACUCCUACGGGAGGCAGCAGUAAGGAAUAUUGGUCAAUGGGCGGAAGCCUGAACCAGCCAUGCCGCGUGCAGGAUGACUGCCCUAUGGGUUGUAAACUGCUUUUGUCCAGGAAUAAACCUAAAUACGAGUAUUUAGCUGAAUGUACUGGAAGAAUAAGGAUCGGCUAACUCCGUG
rnacentral:rRNA from 1 species